AGAGUUUGAUCCUGGCUCAGAUUGAACGCUGGCGGCAGGCCUAACACAUGCAAGUCGAGCGGUAGAGAGAAGCUUGCUUCUCUUGAGAGCGGCGGACGGGUGAGUAAUGCCUAGGAAUCUGCCUAGUGGUGGGGGAUAACGUUCGGAAACGGACGCUAAUACCGCAUACGUCCUACGGGAGAAAGCGGGGGACCUUCGGGCCUCGCGCCAUUAGAUGAGCCUAGGUCGGAUUAGCUAGUUGGUGAGGUAAUGGCUCACCAAGGCGACGAUCCGUAACUGGUCUGAGGGGAUGAUCAGCCACACUGGAACUGAGACACGGUCCAGACUCCUACGGGAGGCAGCAGUGGGGAAUUUUGCGCAAUGGGGGAAACCCUGACGCAGCAACGCCGCGUGAGUGAUGAAGGCCCUUGGGUCGUAAAGCUCUGACAGAGGGAAAGAAGUGUAGAGUGGCUAAUAUCCACAUUACUUGACGGUACCCUCAAAGGAAGCACCGGCUAACUCCGUGCCAGCAGCCGCGGUAAUGCGGAGGGUGCAAGCGUUGUUCGGAUUUACUGGGCGUAAAGGGCGCGUAGGCGGUCUUAUAAGUCAGAUGUGAAAGCCCACGGCUCAACCGUGGAAGUGCAUCUGAAACUGUAGGACUUGAGUAUGGGAGAGGAAAGUGGAAUUCCCGGUGUAGAGGUGAAAUUCGUAGAUAUCGGGAGGAAUACCGGUGGCGAAGGCGACUUUCUGGACCAAUACUGACGCUGAGGCGCGAAAGCGUGGGUAGCAAACAGGAUUAGAUACCCUGGUAGUCC
rnacentral:rRNA from 1 species